UACGUAGGGGGCGAGCGUUGUCCGGAUUUAUUGGGCGUAAAGCGCACGCAGGCGGUCUGCUAAGUUCAGGGUGACAAUCACCAGCUUAACUGGUGAAGGACCUUGAAAACUGGCAGACUUGAGAGCGAGAGAGGGACACGGAACUCCGGGUGGAGCAGUGAAAUGCGUAGAGAUCCGGAAGAACACCAAAGGCGAAGGCAGUGUCCUGGCUCGUUUCUGACGCUCAGGUGCGAAAGCGAGGGGAGCGAACGGG
rnacentral:rRNA from 1 species